UUUUGUCAUGUUUGAUCGUGCGCUAAACAAGGACUUCUUAUUGUAAGCAGCCGACAAAUGUUAGUUACGAACCAAGGUCGACGAUCUACCAUCAUCCACCCAUAUUUGCUGCCAUACUUAGUAGUAUGGGAGCCGCCGCCUCCCCGGAUCUCCUCCGUCUCCUCCGUCUUCAUCGGAGGGACCUGCCUGCGGAGAGACCCCGUAUGAAAUGAUUACACUGUAAAUCAUCCUUUCAGUACAAGAAACUUCCAGUUUAGCAUCAUCCUUUCAGUACAAGAAACUGAAAUAAAACUAUGCAUCAUCUUUUCAGUACAAGAAACUUCCAGUUUAGCAUGCCCAUAAAUCAUGGAUUUGUUCAAUCAGAUGUUUGUUUAGGAACCUAUUGCAGUGAGGUGAUUGUUCAUUUGUAAGAUAAGUUUACAAAGGAGCUUGCAUAUUCAUUGAACUAUAGAUGUCAAAAUGGUUGUGAAGCAUGGCUACAAAUUUAACAGCUACUUUUGUCCUGCUCUUGUUCCCAGUAACUUUUCCUACCUGAAGAAAAUUUUGUGCUUCUCCAUCCAUAGCCCAUCCCUGGGUAGGUUACUACUUAUUUCUUGGCUAUCUCUGUUGGUGGACAAGCAGGUAGCGAUAGUGGUGGCGGUUGCCGGAGGAGACCGGCAAGGAGCCGACGAUGACGACUGACGACAGCCGUGGCGAAACCGGGUGGUCGUCGUCUUCGCCGAUGUCGUUCUCUGCAGCGAUUGCUGGGUUGCCACCGCCUAGCUUUUUGGCCUGUCCUCACUGCAGCUGUUGAGUCCCCAGGCAGCUGAACCAGAAGAGUGAUACGUGGAGUGAGCAAAAAAUACAGUGAUUGAAAGGGAUUGCAUCAGAAUUGUCUCGCUCCUAGCUUCUUGCCCUUUUUCAGCAAUAUCGUCAGCUUCAGAUUCCAGAGAUCAGAUGCCUAGUGUAGUUUCCUUACUACUCAUGAACGUGAUUGUAUAUGGAGGAUUUGUACGGUAUGAUCUCCCUAAUAAAUUCAUAUAUAUGAUUCUGAACUUAUGAUCAAAUGCUCGGUUUGUUCUACC